CGAACGGGUGAGUAAUGCGUGACCAACCUGCCCCGUGCUCCAGAAUAGCUCUUGGAAACGGGUGGUAAUGCUGGAUGCUCCAACUUGACGCAUGUCUUGUUGGGAAAGUGUUUAGUGGCAUGGGAUGGGGUCGCGUCCUAUCAGCUUGUAGGCGGGGUAAUGGCCCACCUAGGCUUCGACGGGUAGCCGGCCUGAGAGGGCGGACGGCCACAUUGGGACUGAGAUACGGCCCAGACUCCUACGGGAGGCAGCAGCC
rnacentral:rRNA from 1 species